GUGAGGAAUUUUCCGCAAUGGGCGGAAGCCUGACGGAGCAAUGCCGCGUGAAGGAUGGAGGCCUAUGGGUUGUAAACUUCUUUUCUUAGAGAAGAAUAUUGACGGUAUCUGAGGAAUAAGCAUCGGCUAACUCUGUGCCAGCAGCCGCGGUAAGACGAGGGAUCCUAGCGUUGCUCGGAAUCAUUGGGCGUAAAGAGGGCGUAGGUGGCUUGGUAAGUCAGGUGUGAAAGCCCAGGGCUCAACCCUGGAGGUGCAUUUGAUACUGCUGAGCUUGAGUGUCGGAGAGGUUACCGGAAUACCUGGUGUAGUGGUGAAAUACGUAGAUAUCAGGUGGAACACCGGAGGCGAAGGCGGGUAACUGGACGAACACUGACACUGAGGCCCGAAAGCGUGGGGAUCAAACAGGAUUAGAAACCCGAGUAGUCC
rnacentral:rRNA from 1 species